rnacentral:lncRNA from 1 species
AAAGCACGAUUUGGAUUAGAGAUAAGGGGUGGAAUAACCCCAUAUCCCCCUUUAUAUCCAAACGCUAAUUUUUUACCCGAGAAUAGUAGUUCUCGAAUAUCUGAAAUAAGCUGAUAUAACUAUCCCCACCAACACCUUCAUUUUUUAUAUAUAACUAUCCACUAUUUUUCUUAUUUCAUGUUAUCUAUCAAAACACUAUUUUUCUUAUCCUCGGGAACAACCCAAUUUUCAUCCAAACACUAUUUUUUUAUACCCAUACUUAUACCUAUUCCUGUAAUAACUAGUUCUUGCUUAUAUCCGAACCAAACGGAGACUUAAAAAUUUUGAUGAUUAUUUU